rnacentral:lncRNA from 1 species
AUGGUGCUGGCUCAGGUUCGAGCGCUGGUUGAAAGCCUUGCUGCACUCGGGGCACGUGUACGGCUUCUCGCCCUUGUGCACGCGUCGGUGCUCCACGAGGUGCGAGAACAGGCCGAAGGGCUUGGCCGCACUCGGCGCACUCGUACAGCUUCUCCCCGGCCACGGGCGCCCGUGGGGGCCGCGGGGCCCCCUCACCACAGUCCCCGCAGGGCGGACACCCCAGCAGGAAGGCCCUCCGCGGGCCGGGCCGCGGCGCUCGGCCGAGUGCGUCCUCCGGUGGCGGUAGAGGCCGAAGCAGCGCACAAAGGCCUGGUCGCACUCGCAGCACUCGUAGGGCCGCUCGCCCGUGUAGAUGCGCUCGUGCUGCAGCAGGCUCGACGUGCGCGUGAAGGCCCUGCCACACUCAUCGCACGCGUACAGCCGCUGGGCCAGGGCCCUGGGGCGAGGACUCGAGGCCUGGCCGCCCUGGGGACACAUCGAGGGGCCCUCGCCCACCUGCUGCUGCUCGUUGGGGCCGAAGCGCUUUCUGCACCCGGCACACGGGCGGCACUCCUUGGCCUCCUGCAUCAGCUCCUGCGGGGCCAGUGGGGCCCUCCAGGCAAAGACCUUGCCGCACCGGCACACACGCUCCACCAAGGGUCUCUGCUGGAGGGGGGUCGGCUUCGGGGUCCUAGGGAAGGUUUGGGCAUCUGUGCGCUGUUCACAGGGUGGAUAGUCUGUGUGGACCCCACACAGCUGAGCCUGAGGGGAGCUCCAGAGCGGCGCUUGGCCUCCACAGUGGUCACACACUGGGGGCUUCUCCCCAGGGGAUGCUCUGUGAUGCCACAUCAGACAGGAGUUACGGUUGGAGGCCCUGGCACCCGCUGGGCACUGACAGGGGUCCUCCCCAGCCUGCAACCAGGUCAGGGUCCUGAGAGGAGGUGGAGGCACACCGCUCUUACACCAGGGGUCCAGUUCCCUCACUCUGAAGAGUCCCUGGGCUGGAGCUCACACCAAGGCCCCAGCUCGGGGAGCCCCCACCCGGGGUAG